rnacentral:rRNA from 1 species
ACAAACCGGAGGAAGGUGGGGAUGACGUCAAGUCAUCAUGGCCCUUACGGCCUGGGCUACACACGUGCUACAAUGGUCGGUACAAAGGGUUGCCAAGCCGCGAGGUCGGAGCUAAUCCCAUAAAACCGAUCGUAGUCCGGAUCGCAGUCUGCAACUCGACUGCGUGAAGUCGGAAUCGCUAGUAAUCGUGAAUCAGAAUGUCACGGUGAAUACGUUCCCGGGCCUU